ACGAACGCUGGCGGCAUGCCUAACACAUGCAGGUCGAACGAGACCUUCGGGUCUAGUGGCGCACGGGUGCGUAACGCGUGGGAACCUGCCCUUAGGUUCGGAAUAACUCCCCGAAAGGGGUGCUAAUACCGGAUAAUGUCUUCGGACCAAAGAUUUAUCGCCUUUGGAUGGGCCCGCGUUGGAUUAGCUAGUUGGUAGGGUAAAAGCCUCCCAAGGCGACGAUCCAUAGCUGGUCUGAGAGGAUGAUCAGCCACACUGGGACUGAGACACGGCCCAGACUCCUACGGGAGGCAGCAGUGGGGAAUAUUGGACAAUGGGCGAAAGCCUGAUCCAGCAAUGCCGCGUGAGUGAUGAAGGCCUUAGGGUUGUAAAGCUCUUUUACCCGGGAUGAUAAUGACAGUACCGGGAGAAUAAGCUCCGGCUAACUCCGUG
rnacentral:rRNA from 1 species